AAAAGACUAUAAAUAGUAACAAAUCUAUGGCUUUACUGCUUUUUCUCCCUUCCCUCUCCCUCUCUCUUUCCACUUUUAGUACAUAAGACACUCACUGAGACAACACGGCCUCCUGACUCGGUUCAACUCAGCUCACAGGCCCCCCCCUUUCUGUCAAGCUGCAUCAGCUCUCACUCUCUCAGUUUUAACUGAUUCUGUUUGGUAACUUGGGGGUGACCUGGUGGAGCUUAGAGCUUCUAUGGUGACUUUGUUAGCAACCUGGUGGCAGCAUUGCUCAGGUUAAAUGUGCUGAGCAUUAUUUUCUUGUCCAAGAUGGGAAAGGGAAAGGUCCACUUGAAUGACUCGACAGAUUAGAUUUCUCUUGUUUGUUUCUUGGGAAGGGAGUUUAAGAAUCUAACUAGAAUGAUGGGCUGAAAGCGACCUUCUUAUGUGAAGCCAUCUGUUCUUCUUUGGCUGUUUCCCCCUUUUUUCUGUCUAGCUUCUGCAAGCCUCUUAUACACUGGGGCGUGAAGGUCCAGAUCUUUUUUCUCAAAGGAACCGUGAAUUUUUACUGCCUUCCUAACAUGAUAUUUGCUUAAACAGAGGAUCCAAGAAACACCCUGCAAUUUGACUUGAAGGUCAAAGUAGUGCAUUGGCCAAACCCUCUCUGUAACUAGCAAGAAGUGAUUGUGCACGGGUGAUUGUAUAUGUAUUGUAUGGGAAGAAGAGAACUUAAAUCUGUUUUUUAAGGUCAAUUUCUGUGAUGGACUGGAACUCCACUGCAUCUGAGGGGAACUGGGAGAACAUAGCAGGGUUAAGUGCCAAGGCUAGUGACAUUCCAAAACAAGUACCAUCGGCAUACCAUGAGACAGAGCGAGAUGGAGCAAUUGAUAAAGCGAUAACAUAUUCGUCUGGUGGUGGUUUAUCAAGCUCUGAUUUGUGGCAUUGCUCUUCAUCCAAGAGCUCAGUUUCACCCUCUGUCGACUCUUCAUUGAAGGGGGGGAUCAAGACUUAUAGCACUGCAGAUGGUUUUCCUAGAGUUAUCAUUAGAAAGGACUUGACCAGGGUAGAAAGUACUGAGAAUAUUCCAUCUCUGGGUGCUUCUGCUAGCUCUGGUGAACCAGUGAUUGGCUUGAAGCUUGGUAAACGGAUGUACUUUGAAGACAUUUGCACAACCAGCACUGCCAAAUCAUCGUCUUCAUCCAUUGUUUCUACUUCCUGUACUGCUACAACAAAGAGAUCUAGGGCAUCAUAUCCAAGUACACAGUCUCCACGUUGCCAGGUGGAAGGAUGCAACCUUGAUCUCAAGUCAGCUAAAGAUUACCAUCGCAGGCAUAGAAUCUGUGAAAAACAUUCCAAAAGCCCAAAGGUUAUUGUUGCUGGCAUGGAACGCCGAUUUUGCCAACAGUGCAGCAGGUUCCAUGAAUUAUCAGAGUUUGAUGACAAGAAGCGAAGCUGUCGUAGACGUCUGUCUGAUCACAAUGCAAGGCGACGGAGGCCACAACCUGAGGCAAUCCGGUUCAAUUCAGCAAGGCCAUCAUCAUCACCAUCAUCAUUUUAUGGUUGUCAUUUCAAUUUCAAAGAUGGUAGACAGCAGAUGAAUGUUGUAUUGAAUAGGGUGCCUUUCCUGGCAGGAAAUUCAACUUGGCAAAGCGAGUGUGGCUUUAAAGUCACUCAUGCUGGAGAUUUUUUUAUUAGGCCUGCAAAAGCAGGGGACAUCCAUAGGCAGCUUAGCUAUCCCUGCAAUGAAGUGCCAGAUGCAGCUUCAACAAUACCAACAGACUCGGAUAAAAUUCUCUCUUUUGAGAGAAGUACACCCCAGGUCUUUAGUCAAGGUUUCGAGGGGUCUGCAUUAACUUCUAACAUUGAGGUAGCACCAGAUCUUCGGCGUGCUCUCUCUCUUCUGUCAACCAAUUCUUGGGGCUCGAACGAGCAUGGAUCCACAUCGCUGGAUCAACUGAUGCUUGCAAACCAAACAAGCAUGACACAGCCAAUGAUAAAUGCUGAACUCCAAAAUUGUCCAGUUGCUUCAUCAGAAAAUGCACGGAUGGAACAAGCAUCCCUUGAGUCUCGGGUGCAUUCAUUGGAUUUACAUGACAAUGGAAACGUCCAGUUGCAAGAGUUUCAGCUGCUCAAAGCACCCUAUGCUACCGGCUGCUUUUAUUCCAAUCAAUUCAGCUAAUUAUUGGAAAUUAUUCAGCUCUUCCUUUUUGAAAUAACUGCUCGUUAAGGUCAGUUUGCUUUCAUCUGGCAAUUUUUCAAAAUCGAACAUUUGGAUGGUUUCAAAAGCACUUUCAACCAUUUGAAGUCUGCCAGAAUUGCAGUUCAAACUAAUGUUUGCCAGAGCGCAGUUUAAAAGGAAGUCCAGAAUAAAGUUGCUGCUGCACCGUAUUUUCUUGACUAAAAACACCAUCUCAUAACAUCAUUUGGACUGCAAUGUGGCUAAAACCUUGCUAUUACCUAUCUCAAUCUGGACAGUAAUCAUUGGCAUGACAUUUGUAACCUUGUCAGACUGCAAAAUGAAUGGUUUGAGGGAUUUUUUUGUCUUUGCUUGAUGACGACAACAUUAAUUCCCUGUUAGAUUUCCAUUUCUCCUCAACUAAAUUUAGUUAUGUUUUAACAAGGCUGCUUUGCUGGCAAUAAAAUCAGUCUUUGACAAGCUA